UCGCCGUGCCCCCCUCUGGCUCCGAGCCUGCGAGACUGGCCUCCUCUCCCGGGUUGGAAGGCGCGGCCGCGCGGACUCCGGCGCGCGCACACGGGCCGCGCGGGUGCGUGAGGAGGGGACAGUGCAGCCCGGAGGCACCCGCUCCCCGGCACUCGAGGCGCGGCGAGGCCCAGCAGCGAGGCGGCCUCGGUGCUGAGAGCAGGCCGCGUGCUGCUCUGAGCCCUUCCCACACUCUCGGGCGCCGCGGGGCCCGCUCGCUGUGCGGAGCCGGUGGCGAGCAGGGAGGAAACAAUAGAACCAGAGAACUGAGUCCAGUAACUGGAAAAAGCAAGGCCUACCAUGACUGGACAGGAUUGAUGAACAGGAUCUAAGAAACGUGUGGCAGAGAGGGACUGCCUUCUCUCAAGGUCUAGGACACAGACUGGGAUUCCUUGGUGUGGUAGGCAGAAUUCUCAAGAUGGUCCCCUAAGAUUGCUGCCCCUUGGUUAUUCAAUCAAACACAAGGUAAGCUGUGAAAGGAUUUUGUAGAUAUAAUUCAAGUUGUAAGUCAGUUGAUAUUAAGACACGGAGAUUGUCACGCAGUCAGCCAUUUCAAAGCAGAGUUUUCUCCAGCUGGUAGGAGAACAGGAAGUCAGAGAUUUGCAGCAUGAGGGGCAUUGGAGCCAUUGCUGACAUGAAGGUGGAAGGGGCCACACCAAGAGGAAUGAGGCAGUAAACACAGUCCUAUGCUGCAAGGAACUGAAUUAGGCCAACAACCUAAAUGAACUCGGAAGUGGAUUCUUCCCCAAAGCCUUGGAUGAGAGCCCCGCUCAGCCAAUACCUUGACUCUGGCCUCCUGAGACUCUGAGCUGAGGACCCAGGCAAGCCCAUUUGACCUGACCUGCAGAAUUGUGGGACAGUAAAUGAGUGUUGCUUUGGGCUUCUAAAUUUGUGGUGGUUUGUUACGUAGCAAUAGGAAACGAACACACUUUGUUUCAUGGAAGAGCUCAGCUGGAGAUACUUGGGAAUCCCUUCAGGAAAAGGUUUAUCAGCUCUCUUGCAUAAUGUUGGUGUGGAGAACACGUUUUCCUCACUCCUAAUGUUUCUUUUUGUGCAGAUGGAGUUCUACUGACAUAAAACUAUUGACCUUUCCUCAUCUCCUGAUUUAGGAAGAAAUAGAGCCACUUAGGAAGGAGAAAUGGUGUAUCUAUACUCCUGUUCCUUCCUCUAUUUUUUCCCCUAGAGAGUGAGCCUAUUGGCUAAGAACCUAAAUUCUGCUCUACUCCUCCAAGUUCCAAGUUUUACGAGGGAGGCCUGUCACAUUCUAGUGCUGCCUGUGACCAUGGAUGGGCAAAUCAUUAAUUCUGGAUUCAGCAACAUGAUCCAGAACUCAGGAAGAAGAGAAAUGUAAUUAGUGGACUCUCUCAUCUGCCCCACCCCCCAAAACCCCACACAUACACACGCAGCCCUUGAAGAGCUGACUUAAUUUGCUCACCUUUGAGAAUGUGGAAGGGAGCUGCACAGGUAGACUGACUUGAGAGAUUGUUGCAUGCUCUUGAAAAACCCUGCAGGUGAGCCUUCCUCUUGGUGCCUUAGCAGCAAGAUAAUGGUCUUCAGAUUUGUUCAGUACUGGGUGUUAGGGACUGAACUGUCUUCCCCACACCCCCAAUUCAUAUGUUGAAGUCCUAACCCCUAGAACUUCAGAACAGAAGGUCUUUAAAGAGAUAAUUAAAUUAAAUGAGGUCAUUAGGGUGGGCUAUAAUCCAAUACGACUGGUAUCCUUAUGAGGAGGAAAUGUGGAUGCAGAUAUGUAGAGAACAAAGACCCUGUGAAGACACAGGGAGAAGACAACCAUCUAACAGGCAAGGAGAGAGGCUUCAGAAGAAACCAACCCUGCUAACACCUUGAUCUUGGAC